GCCGCGACUACAGGCGCAUGCCACCACACCCAGGGUCCCAUCCAGAUACCACAUGACACCCGGUUGUCCUGUCUUCGGAGGCUCCUCCUGGCUGGGACAGCUUCUCAGACUUUCCUUGCUGCGAUGGCUGCUCAAGCUUUGAGGAGUACAGUCAGUGUUCUAUAGAACGUCUCUCUCGCUACUGAAAUUCGUCUAAUGUUUUUCUCAUGAUUAGACUGGGGUUGGGCAUGUUUAGAAAGAAGACCACAGAAGUAAAGUGCCUCCCUCAUCACACCGUGUCAAGGGUACACACCACCACGUGACUUCUCCCUGUCGCUGCUGACCUGGCCACCUGGCUGAGGCAGGAUUGCUCAGCUUCCUCCAUUCUCAGCUUUACACUUGUGAUCUCCUUUCCACGCUGCACUCGCUGGAAGGGAGUCACUGUAUGCAGCCAACACUGAAGGAAUGAAGUUAUUCCACACAGGAUUUAGAAUGCUCCACAGACGAUUUUUCUGCUCUUCCUAUUUAUUUUACAUCAGUACGCAUUCAAAGACACUUAUUUUAUCCUUUGGGCUAUAAUCCAAUACCACUUUUUACUUUGUUGCUCAA
rnacentral:lncRNA from 1 species